AGCUUUGCGCAGUGGCGAUAUCGUAACCAAUGAGGUUCAACCGAGGUGCGAUUAUUGCUAGUUAAAACUAACAAAACAUGCACAAUAUAAGAAUUAUAUGACUAGCUAAAGGCACUUUUUUACGAAUAUUCAACAUAUAUACAAAAAU